rnacentral:rRNA from 1 species
AUACGUAGGGUGCGAGCGUUGUCCGGAAUUACUGGGCGUAAAGAGCUCGUAGGUGGUUUGUCGCGUCGUCUGUGAAAUUCCGGGGCUUAACUCCGGGCGUGCAGGCGAUACGGGCAUAACUUGAGUACUGUAGGGGAGACUGGAAUUCCUGGUGUAGCGGUGAAAUGCGCAGAUAUCAGGAGGAACACCGGUGGCGAAGGCGGGUCUCUGGGCAGUAACUGACGCUGAGGAGCGAAAGCAUGGGUAGCGAACAGGAUUAGAUACCCUGGUAGUCCAGGCCGUAAACGGUGGGCGCUAGGUGUAGGGGUCUUCCACGACUUCUGUGCCGUAGCUAACGCAUUAAGCGCCCCGCCUGGGGAGUACGGCCGCAAGGCUAAAACUCAAAUGAAUUGACGGGG